AAACCAUGUUGAGGGCAUUGAGACCAAUAGCCUUUGAACCUCUCCCAUGCUUCACUGAAGCUCUCUAGACAUUUCUGUUGAAAUCCAGAGAUUUUGUUCUUGAUCUU
rfam:Brassica oleracea var. oleracea cultivar TO1000 chromosome C2, whole genome shotgun sequence